rnacentral:piRNA from 1 species
UGCUAUACCAAUUAAACAGCCUGAGAUUCC